UACGUAGGUGGCAAGCGUUGUCCGGAUUUACUGGGCGUAAAGAGCGCGCAGGCGGUCGAGUAAGUCGAAUGUGAAAGCCCCCGGCUUAACUGGGGAGGGUCAUUCGAUACUGUUCGACUUGAAGGCAGGAGAGGGCAGCAGAAUUCCCGGUGUAGUGGUGAAAUGCGUAGAGAUCCGGAGGAACACCGAAGGCGAAGGCAGUCUCCUGGCAAGUUACUGACGCUCAGGUGCGAAAGCUAGGGGAGCGAACAGG
rnacentral:rRNA from 1 species